CGGGGCGUGGCGCAGUGGUAGCGCGCCUGCUUUGGGAGCAGGAUGUCGCUGGUUCAAAUCCAGUCGCCCCGACCA
rnacentral:tRNA from 1 species